rnacentral:rRNA from 1 species
AUUGAACGCUGGCGGAAUGCUUUACACAUGCAAGUCGAACGGCAGCACGGGGCAACCUGGUGGCGAGUGGCGAACGGGUGAGUAAUACAUCGGAACGUGCCCAGUCGUGGGGGAUAACGUAGCGAAAGUUACGCUAAUACCGCAUACGAUCUAAGGAUGAAAGCGGGGGAUCGCAAGACCUCGCGCGAUUGGAGCGGCCGAUGUCAGAUUAGGUAGUUGGUGGGGUAAAGGCCCACCAAGCCGACGAGCUGUAGCUGGUCUGAGAGGCCGACCAGCCACACUGGGACGGGGACACGGCCCAGACUCCUACGGGAGGCAGCGGUGGGGAAUUUGGGACAAUGGGCGGAAGCCUGAUCCAGCCAUUCCGCGUGCAGGAUGAAGGCCUUCGGGUUGUAAACUGCUUUUGUACGGAGCGAAAAGGCUCUCUCUAAUACAGGGGGCUCAUGACGGUACCGUAAGAAUAAGCACCGGCUAACUACGUGCCAGCAGCCGCCGUAAAAC